GUCACAGGUGCAAAGAAAGUACUAGUCUACUGAAAUAAACAGUAUAAUGUAUGUGCUAUUUUAUUGUAUUUCAAUUUCACUUGUACAUAAUAUUUUGGGGUUUUGUACUAAUGUUUUACCGGAACCCGAACCGCUAUGUAGGGAAACAAGUUUGGAGAUGAGACCCGACAACGUAUAUGGUACCUGUAACAAGAAAGAGGGUAACACAGAAAGAAAUAGAGAAAUACCGAAAUGGAAGGUUGCAGACCCGCCGCAGGUCAAAUUUCUGAAUGUGAAGAAGGAUCAUUUGUAUAUCCUUAUCAUGAGAGACCCGGAUGCUGAAUCAGCACAUGAUGUCCUUCAUUGGCUGGUCACAAAUAUAACGGGUUUAUCACUUCAGGCUGGAAAGAUCGACGGGACGGAACAAAUGAAAUACAACGGUCCUAAUCCUCCUGUAAAGCAACACCAUCGGUACCAGUUCUUCCUAUAUGAACAGAAAAGUAGUAAUGUGGACCUGUCUUUGGUAACAAGAAUCCAUUUUAAACUGGUGCCCUUUCUAGAAAGAAACGAGUUAUGUCCUAAUGGUGUUGUUGCAUCAUUUCAAUACAAAAGUUUUUCAUAAAAAAAUUCAAUCUACA